rnacentral:rRNA from 1 species
GAAACGACUGCUAAGACUGGAUAGGAGAUAAGAAGGCAUCUUUUUAUUUUUAAAAGACCUAGCAAUAGGUAUGCUUAGGGAAGAGCUUGCGUCACAUUAGUUAGUUGGUGGGGUAAUGGCCUACCAAGACGAUGAUGUGUAGCCGGGCUGAGAGGUCGAACGGCCACAUUGGGACUGAGACACGGCCCAAACUCCUACGGGAGGCAGCAGUAAGGAAUUUUCGGCAAUGGAGGAAACUCUGACCGAGCAAUGCCGCGUGAACGAUGAAGUAUUUCGGUACGUAAAGUUCUUUUAUUAGGGAAGAAAAGAUGGUGGAAAAACCAUUAUGACGGUACCUAAUGAAUAAGCCCCGGCUAACUAUGUGCCAGCAGCCGCGGUAAUACAUAGGGGGCAAGCGUUAUCCGGAAUUAUUGGGCGUAAAGGGUGCGUAGGCGGUUAAAUAAGUUUAUGGUCUAAGUGCAACGCUCAACGUUGUGAUGCUAUAAAAACUGUUUAGCUAGAGUUGGAUAGAGGCAAGUGGAAUUCCGUGUGUAGUGGUAAAAUGCGUAAAUAUACGGAGGAACACCAGAAGCGAAGGCGGCUUGCUGGGUCUUAACUGACGCUGAGGCACGAAAGCGUGGGGAGCAAACAGGAUUAGAUACCCUGGUAGUCCACGCCCUAAACGAUGAGUACUAAACGUUGGAUAAAACCAGUGUUGAAGUUAACACAUUAAGUACUCCGCCUGAGUAGUACGUACGCAAGUAUGAAACUUAAAGGAAUUGACGGGACUCCGCACAAGCGGUGGAUCAUGUUGUUUAAUUCGAAGGUACCCGAAAAACCUCACCAGGUCUUGACAUGCUUUUGCAAAGUUGUAGAAAUACAGUGGAGGUUAUCAGAAGCACAGGUGGUGCAUGGUUGUCGUCAGCUCGUGUCGCGAGAUGUUGGGUUAAGUCCCGCAACGAGCGCAACCCUUGUUGUUAAUUGCCAUCAUUAAGUUGGGGACUUUAGCAAGACUGCCAAUGAUAAAUUGGAGGAAGGUGGGGACGACGUCAAAUCAUCAUGCCCCUUAUGACCUGGGCUACAAACGUGAUACAAUGGCUGUUACAAAGGGUAGCUAAAGCGUAAGCUUCUGGCGAAUCUCAAAAAAGCAGUCUCAGUUCGGAUUGAAGUCUGCAACUCGACUUCAUGAAGUUGGAAUCGCUAGUAAUCGCGAAUCAGCAUGUCGCGGUGAAUACGUUCUCGGGGUUUGUACACACCGCCCGUCA